rnacentral:lncRNA from 1 species
GGGAGUCUUGCUCAAGCAAUUUUAGAGGAAUAGCUCUAAAAUAAGUGGCUUUCCCAGGAUCAAAGGCAGAGCCAUUUUGCUGAAGGUGACAAUGGAGUGAGCCAUGCAAGAGGACAAUUCUGGGCACCAACAAUCCGAUUGCUGAUCCUUCAAGUGUGCAUGUGCAGCUGGCUUUUGCUUUCCUAGCUGAUCCUGCUGAAAUUAGUGAAAAGCAGUGCUGGGUUAACAGUUGGACUCAAAAUCUUUGAGGUCUUUUCCAACCUUAAGGAUUAUGUGAAUCUUUUGAGCUGAGGAGAGCGCUAGGAUCUGUUUUAAUCCGCACUGGCCAAUGCAGCCCUGGCUGGUGAGGAAUGUGACACCAGUGAUCCAGGUGUCACAAGGAACUCCUGAUGCUGCCUCUCCCUCCCUUCCCAAGCCUGUGGCAGCACCUUUCCUGGGAUGUGAGGGGAUUUAUUUUGGAGGCAGAGAGGAGAGGAAAACCGACUUGUCAGGAAAUUUGGCUGGACUUGUUUGAGUGAGGCUGACUGGAAAACAGCUGUGUGUGCACGGAGCAGAGACUGCACCCCUGCACUGCCAGGGUGGGAUGGCAGGAAAGCCCUUUUGCUUUUUCUCUGGGGUUUUUUGGUGUUUUUUGUUUGUUUGUUUGUUUUUAAGAAACAGAAAUACAAGACCUGAUUGGCAGCCUGGGAGGAGAAACCUGAGGUGCCUGAGGGCCUGGACUCAUGGGAGCAUCCCAAAACACUUGUCAGUCCCUGGAGGUGUCUGUUACCCCAACAAGUGCCAGUCCUCAUGGAGCUGAUUCAGAACAAAGCUGCAGAGCAGGUGUUGGAAGGGUCAGCCCUGAAGCACUGAAGGCUGCAGCCAGACACGAAGCUCAUCCCUGAGGAUGAGGAGGGAGCUUGGAGCAGGCAGUGCAGCAAAGAGAUGCAUCAGCACCUGCUCCCAGCUGCAGGAGAAGGAAGGAGUGCUGGGAGCUCCCUCCCCACAAGUGCAGAGGAUGUGCCUCCUCCAUGCCAUCUUUGGAGUCCCAGGUGCUGUUGGAGCUCCUCCACGACCUCAGCCCUGCAUCCAUGGGGGACAUGGAGAGGAAACCUCAGCCAGGGCUGGAUGUGCCUGGGCCAUUUCCCUUCUGGAGAAAAGAGAGCCUCCAAAAUCUAUAAAUCAACCAUCUCUGAAAUGGUGUGGGAUUAAGGAAAAGGUGCAGAAUAGAAAUUAUUUCCUCGGGAGAAAGCAGCAGAUAAUUUCAUCUGCCUGGGAAAAUGAUGUCUCCAUCAGUUGUCUUCAGGAGACUCCAAAAAGAGUUAAAGGGGGGCUCAGAGUGUGCAGUUAUUGUGGAAUUUUGGAAUCCCACACUGGUUUAGGUGGCAAGGGACCUCAAAGCCCGUCCCAUUCCACCUGGGUUGCUCCAAGCUCUCUCCAACCUGGCCAGGGAUCCAGGGGCAUCAAUGACCAAGUUGGCUUCUCUGGGGUGGAAAAAAGGUCCCAGCUCUGCACUGCCAUGAAGGGAUCUUUUAUUUAUCAACAGAGCCACGGGAUGUGAAUUUCUCCAACGCCUUCACUGAGCUGUCACACAGAAACUGAGCUGCUAUUAAGCAGCUUUGGGCUGCAGCCAGUUCAUUAGAGCAAACUUUCAUCCAAUUAUCAUUACUCUUAUUAUUAUUUUUAUUAUGAUGCCUCCUGCUCUGUUGUAAAUUGGAGAGUUUUCCUGGGGUUCUUGUUGGACUUUUUUGAGUUGUCUCAAAACUGGAUGGCAAAUUUCCUUCCUUCCUUCCUUCCUUCCUUCCUUCCUUCCUUCCUUCCNCGCCACUUCCUUCCUUCCUUCCUUCCUUCCUUCCGCCACUUCCUUCCUUCCUUCCUUCCUUCCUUCCUUCCUUCCGCCACUUCCUUCCUUCCGCCCCUUCCUUCCUUCCUUCCGCCACUUCCUUCCUUCCUUCCUUCCUUCCUUCCGCCCCUUCCUUCCUUCCUUCCUUCCUUCCUUCCGCCACUUCCUUCCUUCCUUCCGCCACUUCCUUCCUCCCUCCCUCCCUCCCUCCCUGUUUUUUUCCAUGCCUGACUUCACUCCCAGCCCCGAUGAUUUUUCCUGUGAAACCCCAAAACUCUCAAUUUGAAGAGCGGGAGAGGGGAAGGCGCAGCCUUCCAGCAGAGCUGCAACGAGCUAGCGCUAAAUCGAGCUCUAAUUGCUCAUUUAAACUAAUUAAUUUACCAAACCCGAAGAAUUUUGAACGGAUGCUUGGGAGCCUCGCCCUCCCUUCUCCCGGGCACAGGGCGCGGGGAGCCCCACGACCGCUUUUGGUGGAGCCUCCCCCGAGGUGCUGAUGGCAAUUCCCCGGGCUGGGAGCAUCCCUUUCCCCCCAGCUGGUGGGAAAACCAGCGCAGGAGGGAGUAAACAUCCCGGAUGCUGACACGGCAAUAAAACCGGUGUGUCUGCAGCA